GGAGUGGCAGCAGAUGUUAGCUCAGGGCUAAUCUUCCUCAAAAAAAAAAAAAAAAAAAAAAGACCCUGGAAGAAAGAAGAGGUCAGAGGCUAGGAGAAGCCGCUUCUUAUGUCAGGCUGGAAGAUGUUAACCUUCAGAAAACAAUCUUUACACAUAGAAGCAGCGUGUUCAGUUAAUAACUUGGAACACACGUUUAUGACUCGUGGAAGACGGUGACUAUUUUGGCCUAAUGAUGUGUGCUCAGUUUGAGGUCCAGAAACUCUGUUUAUCUGGUGUGUGACCUUGGUUGCCUGGUCCCUUGCUGGGAGGUGACAGAAGCAGACUGAAGUGCCAGUUCCAGCGCCCCCAUCUCGACUGCUUGACUCUCAGGCACCCGUCUCUCUGACCCAGUGGGAAUAGAGGCUCUAACGGCUUCGUGAGCCCUCGGGGAUGCCCUCUUGGCUGACUGGGGCCAAUUUCCUUCCUCUCAACUCUCCUCGCCUUCUUCAUUUCGAUGUCACCACGUCCCUUGCGAUCCUGUCAGCCAGGCCCACCCCAGAAGAGGGAUUCUCGGGCAGUUGGCCUCAGUUUCCUUUUUCCCCUCCCUUCUUCCUUCCACGUGAAAUGACAUGGACAGGCUCCAAAUCCCUUCCUGCUCUCAUUGCCCGAGGGCCUAGUGAAGGUGCCAGUGAGAUAUCUGGGCAGUGGCUCGUCUCUGAAACCACUGAGGGAGGAAGGCGGUGACUCCACGUGCUCUGGCCAGACAGCUUUUCUCUAUAGGAAGAGUUGAGAUGGCUUUCUGGACAAAGUUGGAAAGCCAAAAGAGCCAGCCAGGGAGCCACGGAGAAUAAAGAAAUUUCAGCAGAAGCCUCAAAGGCAGAGAACAAAAUAGUCAGUGUCAAGAAGCCCCCCCAUCUACACAAGGUGCUGAGACUCCACGCAGGACAAGCUCAGAAAGUGGGACACUCCUCCAUCUGCAUUAGCCCUUUCCCAGUCCCAGCCUUUCAACAGGUCAGCGGGGUUUCUGUGGAGAGGGUUGACUGAGGGCUGUGUGUUCCCACGCCAAGUGCCCUUCCCUGGGGAGGGGAGAAAGGUGCACCACCGCACCUCAAGGUGAGCUAGAAGAGCUUCAGGGGAGCUUUCUUUGUGCCUUUAAAUGUUUGGGGGAAACAUCAGGACUGGUCUGAGCAGUCAGGGUGGCGCUGCGCCAACGCUGCCCUGUCCCAGAGGGAAAGUUGCUUGAUUCCCGUGGACCAAAUGUGGGUCGCGAGGUGAGGAGACCGCCCGGAGCCUCCUCGAAAGGAACCCCAUCCACAAGGGCUGCGGGGGUUGGGGGUGGGGGCAAAGGGCCCCAGCAGAGAGAUGGACCCCUGGAAAGCCAGAGGCUGAAGGGACCCCACAGAGAGAUGGACCCUGGAAAGCCAGAGGCUGAAGGGACCCCACAGAGAGAUGGACCCCUGGAAAGUCAGAGGCAAAGGGACCCAGAAGAGAGAUGGACCCUGGAAAGCCAGAGGCUGAAGGGACCUCACAGAGAGAUGGACCCCUGGAAAGCCAGAGGCAAAGGGACCCAGCAGAGAGACGGACCCUGGAAAGCCAUAGGCUGAAGGGACCCCACAGAGAGAUAGACCCUGGGAAGCCAGAGGCUGAAGGGCUACCACAAUCCCCCUCUCCAGCACACACACCCCAACCUCGUAACGAAAAUUGUAGCUGGGAUGGGGUUGCCAGAUUUAAUGAAUACAAAAUACAAGACGGCCAUUUCAAUUUCAAUUUCAGAUGAGCAAUGGAUAAGUUUUUGGUAUAACUAUGGCACACAAAGUAUUUGAGAUAUACUAAAAAUUUAUUUAUUGUUUAUCUGAGCUUCAAAUUUAGCUGGGCAUUCUGCACUCUAUCUGGCAACCCUGGUUGGAAGCUUUACAGCAGAAAUCUUGCGGCUUCUCCAGGAAACCUACAGCAGUGCCCCAAACAGAAGUUAGCUAUUGAGCCCCAACGUCAGGUCACUACUGAAGCAAUCAAAUAAGGGCCUUUCUCUCCUCUAUCCUUGUUCCUUUCCCCUUCCCUUCAUCCCCCACUUCUCAUCCGUAACCGUAACCCAGCUAGUGAGCAGGAGAUGGAAGAAGGGAGGGUGCAGGAGGAGAUGACCACACCCACACCCUCCGCCACUGGAGGAAGGAGACACUUUCAUGUAAACGAAAUUGAGCAUUUUGCUUAUUAUCCAGACCAGACUGUUGAACAACUCCUGUUCUUGUGACUUAAAGGGACCUGUGUGUGAUGCCUGCCUAAGGCAUCAGGCAGCGGAGGGGAAGGAAGCGAAUCCCGGAGCCACGUUGAAAAGAAGCAGCUGAAAGAAGAGACUCGCUUUAUGAUUGCACCCUGCUGGGUGGAGCUGGGUCACAAACUGAUUUCUUGUUGGUGCAUCUAUUUCUCUCACUAGUGUCCUAUUAUGCAUCUGUGUCCCCAGUGCCUGGCGUAGGUAGUAGAUGCUCAGAAAUGUUUGAGUGUUGAAUGUCGAAAGCUUCAGGGACUUGACCCAUUUUUUCACCUACAGAACCUGCAGAGAGAGUUUUUCUGGCAUCGUGUAAUCUUUCCCAAAGGUGUGUUGGCAGUGGUAAGACUUCUCGUUACAAAACACGCCAGGUAGGGUGACGGAGACAAGCUGAACUAGGUGUGGAACCUUCUCUAAGAAUGUUUGCAGGCACUUAUGUUCACAGCAGGGGCAGAUCCAGGUUUCUGGGGACCUGAGGCUGAUACAAACUGGGACUCCUUCUAAGAAAAAGGAUAUCAAAUUAUGAGACAAGAUUAGGUGUACGUGUGAAUAUUAAUUUAAGGGAAAUCGCAACAAAUUACAAAUUUUAAAAGGCUGAGAAAUACAAACAUUGCAAAAAAGCAGAAAAAUCACAUAGUGUUUGUGUGGUUAACUAUCGGAUACACCACUGUAACACGUUUUUCUCUACCUUUCUUGGCUGGUGUCCUGGCAGGAGCGGCCUAUGAUGAGUCCAUGUUACCCUCGUUGAUGUCAGCAUUUGGCGAUCCAGUCACCAAGAAUACAAGCCUGUUUUCAAUAGACUCACGUGAUUCACUCUUCUUCAUUAGAUUGGGUAUUCAAUUUAUUUAUGCUCAAAGUGUAUCUUUUCCUCUUAAUGAAGUACUGCUUUUGGUACUAUCUGGUUCUUAUAAUCUUUCUCUCUUCUUUUGUCAUUAUUUAUAUUUUCUUAAUUGUGAUUUUUCUAUGUGAUUCUUUUCCUUGAUUUCAUGCUUUUGUCCAUCAGAUUUUUUUUAGCAUCUGUUGUGGUAGAACAAAGACUUUUUGACAUUUUGGAGUUUCUUCUAGUGCUUUUAUCUUUUAGUUUUUAUCUGAAGCUCCCACUAAGAUGCUUCUUUCUUGAUACAUUUGAAUUUUGUAUAAUCAAUAAUUCUGAAAGAAUAUACAACGUUAAUCAGAAAUAAAAGCACUCUCAAGAGCCAUUCAAACGCAUUUAAAAAUCGCCGAAACAUUGUAUUGUUACAUGUUGCGUAAUCAAAUCCCUCUUCUGCCACGUGGACCGGUGUAUUGUUAAGUAUGUGUGAGGGUUUUGGCCCCGUGGAACACUUGCUUCUGUAUCUCCGGUGAUUUGGUGCCCAGUUUCAUCCAGAGCCACCAGACUUCACCAUAACAGGAUCACGUGCUCUCAGGACGAUCUGUUCGGUGGGGACAGGGAACCCGUGAAAGGCAUCACAUGAGCAGGGGAAUGCUCCUUCUUCGCAGAGAAAAGUGGAUAAGCAGCGACUCCAGACCAAGUCUUGAUGUGAGCUGGAAAGCAGCAUGUAUUGAAAGCCUUAAAAAUAUUUAUAUCCCCCUCAAACACACACACAUUCCCAUACUUUGACCUAGUAACUUGACUUUGGGGUGUUAAUCUUAAGGAAAUACUCCUAAAAAUGAAAAAAAAAUUAUUAUGCACAAAGAUGUUAAUAAUAUUUUCUUAAAAAAACCUAUUUGGAAUAACCUGCUCAGACAGUAAAUGGCUGGUUAUCUAAAUCAUGAAACAUCAGCUUGAUGGUUAUUAUUCUUCUUAAAGUUUAUGGAAGCUUUGUUCAAAAUAGUUCUCACAUAAUGUAAGCAAAAAAAGCAAGAUAUAAAAUUAUAUGCACAUUUUCAUUUCAGCUAGAUUGUCAUAAUCCCUAUGCUCGGAAAAAUCGUGGAAUAUACAUUAUUUUGAAAUGUAUAUUCUAUACUUAUGUACACUACACAUAUCAUGAACAUCCUUCCAUAUUAAUAAAUAUAGAUUUAUGAUAUCAUUUUCAUAGCUGCAUGGUAUUCCAUUGUAUGCAUGAACCCAAAUUUAAUCAAUCUCUUAUUUUAAGACAUUUAGAUUGUUUCCAAUCUUUUCCUGGUUUAAGUAUACUGCAAUGAAUAAUCUUGCACAUUAAUCUUUAGCCAGUUCUCCAAUUAUUUCCUCAGAAACGAUUCCUAGAAGUGGAAUUGCUGGGUCAAAGGCAUGUUCAGGGCUUUUGAAACCGAUUGCCAAAUGACCUUCCAGAGAGACUGUAAACCUCCACUCCAGCGGCCGUGUGGGAGUGGACGCCCUGCCCCUGGCGCCUUUGCAACACUGACUCAUUAAUUUGCUGUAAAAUUGAGAAAAUAACUUAAGGGAAUAUUCCUGCAAUA